rnacentral:ncRNA from 1 species
AAAAUCUAUAUGAAAAAAUUAUAUAUAUAAAUAAAUUUUUUAUGAUUUAUUAAAUUUAAUUUAAAUUUAUUUUACAUGUAAAUUUUAGUGUUAACUUUUAAUUAUUUUAAUAAUAAUUAUUAACAUUUGCAGUAAUUUGAAUUAAAUAUUUAAGAAAUUAAGAUUUAGUAAUAUUUAAAUUCAUUAACAAAUUUUGUGCCAGCAGUUGCGGUUAUACAAAAAAUGAUUUAAAUUUUAUCAGUAUAUAAUAAAUAAAAUUAUUAUUUAAAUUAAAUAUUAAAUUAUUAGGUGAAAUUUUAAUUUAAUUAAAAUUUAUAUAAAUUUUAUGGUUUAUUAAAUUUUUUUUAAAAAACUAGGAUUAGAUACCCUAUUAUUAAAAAUUAAAUUUAUAAUACUAAAAUAGUAGGUAAUUAUUUAUUGAAACUUAAAUAAUUUGGCGGUAUUUUAGUUCAUUUAGAGGAAUCUGUUUAAUAAUUGAUAAUCCACGAAUAAAUUUACUUAAUUUAUUAUUUUGUAUAUCGUUGUUAAAAAAAUAUUUUUUAAUAAAAAUAAUAUUUUAAAAUUUUUAUUUAAAAUUAAUUCAGAUCAAGAUGCAGAUUAUAAUUAAGAAUAUAAUGGAUUACAAUGAAUAAAUUUAAAUGAAUAAUAUUUUUUAAUAAAUAUUUGAAGGUGGAUUUAAAUGUAAUUUUAAUUAAUUUAUUAAAAUGAUUAUAUAUUAAAAUAUGUACAUAUUGCCCGUCGCUUUCAUUAAUAAAUUGGAAUAAGUCGUAACAAAGUAGAGGUACUGGAAAGUGUUUCUAGAAAGAA